rnacentral:rRNA from 1 species
AUUGAACGCUGGCGGCAGGCUUAACACAUGCAAGUCGAGCGGGGGAGGUUGCUUCGGUAACUGACCUAGCGGCGGACGGGUGAGUAAUGCUUAGGAAUCUGCCUAUUAGUGGGGGACAACAUCUCGAAAGGGAUGCUAAUACCGCAUACGUCCUACGGGAGAAAGCAGGGGACCUUUGGGCCUUGCGCUAAUAGAUGAGCCUAAGUCGGAUUAGCUAGUUGGUGGGGUAAAGGCCUACCAAGACGACGAUCUGUAGCGGGUCUGAGAGGAUGAUCCGCCACACGGGGACUGCGGCACGGACGAGACUCCUACGGGAGGCAGCAGUGGGGAAUAUUGGACAAUGGGGGGAACCCUGAUCUAGCCAUGCCGCGUGUGUGAAGAAGGCCUUCUGGUUGUAAAGCACUUUAAGCGAGGAGGAGGCUACUGGUAUUAAUACUACCGGAUAGUGGACGUUACUCGCAGAAUAAGCACCGGCUAACUCUGUGCCAGCCGCCGCAGUAACAC